rnacentral:rRNA from 1 species
GAUCAUGGCUCAGGAUGAACGCUGGCGGCGUGCUUAACACAUGCAAGUCGAACGAAGCAUUUGCGACAGAUUUCUUCGGAAUGAAAUUGCUUAUGACUAAGUGGCGGACGGGUGGAGUAACGCGUGGGUAACCGUGCCUUGUACUGGGGGAGUAGCAGCUGGAAACGGCUGGUAAUACCGCAUAAGCGCACAAUGUUGCAUGACAUGGUGUGAAAAACUACCGGUGGUAUAAGA